CAAGAAUCCUCACUGUGACCUGAACCUUUCCUUACACUGUGAAUUCAGGAUCCAAGGACUGCAGAGGCUCUGAAAAUGAACUGUGCCCCAGGACCAGUGAUUGUAUUAGUCUUAAUGUUUGGAGGAAGCAAUGGUGACUCGGUGACCCAGACAGAAGGUCAGGUGAUCAUCUCUGAAGGGACUUCCCUGACUGUGAACUGUUCCUAUGAAACCUCACAGUAUCCUGCCCUAUUCUGGUAUGUCCAAUAUACUGGAGAAGGUCCACAGCUCCUUUUUAGAGUCUCAAAAGCCAAUGAGAAGGGCAGCAACAAAGGUUUUGAAGCCACGUACAAUAAAGAAACUUCCUCCUUCCACUUGAAGAAAGCUUCCAUUCAAGAGUCAGACUCGGCUGUGUACUACUGUGCUCUGAGUGACACAGUGGCAGAAUCUGCAGGGGGAGCUGAGCACAAACUCUGAGUAGCAACCAGGGGCCUGGCGGCUGAGCAUCUGCCUUAGAUCUCUCUGGUUUGGGGACCAGGAACUACUCUGCUAUCAUAGCCAUCUGACAUCCACCCAGGCAGUGCUAUGCUAUCAAAGUCAUCUAAACCAAACCCUAGAACACUUCAAAAGAACAAGAAGUAAACAAGCCUCAAACAAGAUGCCUUAACAGUGAGGGUAAAAACAGU